UAUUUUAAUCUUGCACCGCCGGUGGCCGUGUGUUUAGGUCGAAAUUCCACCGUGGACGGCACUUGAUUCGGGAGACGCCCAAGUCCAAGUACAAUGUACAAUGACGAAACGUCCGGAAACGAGGGAAUAGUAGCAUAAACGCCCAUGGCCGCAGUUUAGAUCUAUUUACCGCAAAGAACUGACAACGGCAUUCGGCUUUUGGACCCCCGACGGUACAUCUCGUCCAAUUAGAGCUGAUGCAACUUUCCAUCUCAUCGUCUCUCUUCUGCUGGAAUUCACCGACCAGUGGAUUUAAUUGGGAGUCAUAAAAAAAAUGGAAACCACCAACAAAUCACACCAGCCUUUGUCUUCACAAAAUUCCAUCUAUACCAUUGAUGGUAGUCAAUUGCAGCUAGCCCCACCGUCGGAGGACAUGAAAGGGCCAAAAACGAAAUUGUUCGGGAAAACAUCGAAGAAACACUUAGAAGCGUUUUUAAUAUUUACAAUAUUGAUCAUUUCUAUUUUGCUAAUCGCGUUGUGCGUUACCAUUUAUCUAGUCGUUGAAACGAAACUGGGCGUUACACCUUACAUAUGUCUUACUCAUCAGUGCAUCAGAACUGCCUCUGUGAUACUGUCGUCAAUGAAUAAAUCGCAGGACCCGUGUGAUAAUUUUUACAAUUUUGUGUGCGGCAACUUCCGAACGGAGCGAGCAGCACCUGAUCCCAAUUGGGGUAACAGUUGGUUUAUGAUAAAUGAGGUUCUCAUAAAAAGGGAUAUUACGGAUUUUCUUCUUCAAAAAAGCCAAGACGAUGAUCCUGAAUUCGUACAAAAAGGAAGAACGUUAUACAACUCGUGUGUAGAUUUCAGUGCAAUGGAGGAAAAUGGGUUAGAGACCUACUGGGAUAUUCUUAACACGACCGGUCUGCCGAAGGACCCGUUUAGUAACCCAAUGUCAGCUGAACAAUGGCUCUGUUCUCUCGCUAAAAUACGCCGAUACACCGGCUUGAACAUAAUCCUGGGCGUGAGUGUAAAAGAAUCGAUUUCAAACAGUUCGACAAAUCAAAUCAUGUUCUCCACACCGGAUCAAGCUGAACAAAUAUUUACCGGAUUCCAUUGGGGCAACGAGAACAAGAAAAUAAUGAAGGAGUCUUUGACGGACGACGUGAAAAAUACAUGGGUUAAAUCAGUUGGUAAAAUUAUCCUCCUCGUUAUCAAAUCUGGGGGUGGAGAGAUAAAAAAAGACGAAUUGGAAGCGUCCAUUUCUUCACUUGUCGAUCUGAAUAGAGCACUCUGGAAUUUGGAGAAUAGUCCAAAUAUAUCGAAAUCCAUUCUCAACGAGAUUCCUGAAGAGAUAAGUGUUGAGGAACUACAAAUUUAUCUGGACAAAAAUACGGUAUCAGGAAAAUCGAAGUUGAACUUAGCCAAGUAUAUAAGUAUUCUGUACGAAGAUGUUUGGGAAGUGAAAAUUGAUUUGAAUCAGACCAAAUUGCAGGUCUUUCAGAAAUACUAUUUUCAACUGAUAUCCGAAUUCCUUGAAAAGGUCGAAGACAAAAAUAUUGGUAUAUACAUUUGGUGGAACGUCCUGGAAAAUUUGGCGCCCCACGUUAACAGAGAGCUUUCGGAUUUAAUAAACACAUUUUGGACCAAGCUGUUGGAUAUGGAGUACGGAGAAACUAGGAAUUAUUUUUGUUUGAGCGUUGUAAAUCAAUUAAUGGCGCCUGCUGCAGGGUUUUUCCUCGUCGAGAAAAUGGAAAACAAAACGAUUAACGAGAUCAUGUACCUAAUAGACGCUGUAAAGAACGUGUUUGCUGAAGAAAUCCGGACACUUCCGUGGAUGGAUGAUUCUACAAAGAGAUCCUCAAUUGAAAAACUGAAAAAAAUGUCUUCUUUCGUAGGCAUACCGGAUGUUAUGAGAGACGUAGACGAAAUAAAUCAAUUGUACAAUGUAACGUUAGAAGAAGACUCGUACUUAACGAACUUCUUGAACUUAAUCGACCUUCACAGCUAUGACAUGUUUUCCUCUUUGGCUGAAGAGAACAACUUUUCAACAGCAUUUUUUGAUCCAUUGUCAGUUAACGCUUAUUAUAACCCGAGUGCCAAUUCAAUUAGUAAGUAUGAUAAUAAUUUAAUCUGUGCCGGCUGGAAUACUUCACUUUCCAUUUUACGAUUUGGGAACAGAAUCUCUUAUUUACGGGGCCAUCGGUACAGUGAUAGGUCAUGAAAUCACGCACGGAUUCGACAGUAUAGGUCGAAUGUACGAUAAAUCGGGAAAUGUGUACCCUUGGUGGUCGAAUAGGUCGGUUGAACAAUAUACUAAUCGGACAUAUUGCUUUGAAGAAGAAUACAACAAUUACGUCAUUCCACGUCUAAAUGCCACAGUGGAUGGGGUGUUGACGUUAGCUGAGAACCUGGCAGAUGACGGUGGUCUGCGGUUUGCGUACGGGGCGUAUAAACGAUACGCCGAAAUGGGAGAACAACAACGACUUCCAGGGCUCCAGGCCUUCUCCGACGAACAGCUUUUCUUCAUGUCAUUCGCAAAUCACUGGUGUUCUGACGAAACAGAUGAGAGCUUAAGCCAAAUCUUGAAACAAGACGAGCACAGCCCAGCUCUUGUGAGGGUAAACGUUGCCUUGCAGAAUUUCGGCCGUUUCGCCGAAGUGUGGAAAUGCCCGGCCGGCUCGAAAAUGAAUCCGUCCAAAAAAUGCAAUUUGUGGAAUUAAAUUGGAAAUUUUACAACUGUG
rnacentral:misc_RNA from 1 species